AGAGUUUGAUCAUGGCUCAGAUUGAACGCUGGCGGCAGGCCUAACACAUGCAAGUCGAACGGUAACAGGAAGCAGCUUGCUGUUUCGCUGACGAGUGGCGGACGGGUGAGUAAUGUCUGGGAAACUGCCUGAUGGAGGGGGAUAACUACUGGAAACGGUAGCUAAUACCGCAUAACGUCGCAAGACCAAAGAGGGGGACCUUCGGGCCUCUUGCCAUCGGAUGUGCCCAGAUGGGAUUAGCUUGUUGGUGGGGUAACGGCUCACCAAGGCGACGAUCCCUAGCUGGUCUGAGAGGAUGACCAGCCACACUGGAACUGAGACACGGUCCAGACUCCUACGGGAGGCAGCAGUGGGGAAUAUUGCACAAUGGGCGCAAGCCUGAUGCAGCCAUGCCGCGUGUAUGAAGAAGGCCUUCGGGUUGUAAAGUACUUUCAGCGGGGAGGAAGGGAGUAAAGUUAAUACCUUUGCUCAUUGACGUUACCCGCAGAAGAAGCACCGGCUAACUCCGUGCCAGCAGCCGCGGUAAUACGGAGGGUGCAAGCGUUAAUCGGAAUUACUGGGCGUAAAGCGCACGCAGGCGGUUUGUUAAGUCAGAUGUGAAAUCCCCGGGCUCAACCUGGGAACUGCAUCUGAUACUGGCAAGCUUGAGUCUCGUAGAGGGGGGUAGAAUUCCAGGUGUAGCGGUGAAAUGCGUAGAGAUCUGGAGGAAUACCGGUGGCGAAGGCGGCCCCCUGGACGAAGACUGACGCUCAGGUGCGAAAGCGUGGGGAGCAAACAGGAUUAGAUACCCUGGUAGUCCACGCCGUAAACGAUGUCGACUUGGAGGUUGUGCCCUUGAGGCGUGGCUUCCGGAGCUAACGCGUUAAGUCGACCGCCUGGGGAGUACGGCCGCAAGGUUAAAACUCAAAUGAAUUGACGGGGGCCCGCACAAGCGGUGGAGCAUGUGGUUUAAUUCGAUGCAACGCGAAGAACCUUACCUGGUCUUGACAUCCACAGAACUUUCCAGAGAUGGAUUGGUGCCUUCGGGAGCUGUGAGACAGGUGCUGCAUGGCUGUCGUCAGCUCGUGUUGUGAAAUGUUGGGUUAAGUCCCGCAACGAGCGCAACCCUUAUCCUUUGUUGCCAGCGGUCCGGCCGGGAACUCAAAGGAGACUGCCAGUGAUAAACUGGAGGAAGGUGGGGAUGACGUCAAGUCAUCAUGGCCCUUACGACCAGGGCUACACACGUGCUACAAUGGCGCAUACAAAGAGAAGCGACCUCGCGAGAGCAAGCGGACCUCAUAAAGUGCGUCGUAGUCCGGAUUGGAGUCUGCAACUCGACUCCAUGAAGUCGGAAUCGCUAGUAAUCGUGGAUCAGAAUGCCACGGUGAAUACGUUCCCGGGCCUUGUACACACCGCCCGUCACACCAUGGGAGUGGGUUGCAAAAGAAGUAGGUAGCUUAACCUUCGGGAGGGCGCUUACCACUUUGUGAUUCAUGACUGGGGUGAAGUCGUAACAAGGUAACCGUAGGGGAACCUGCGGUUG
rnacentral:rRNA from 1 species